rnacentral:rRNA from 1 species
AGUGAACGCUGGCGGCGUGCCUAAUACAUGCAAGUCGACCGUCGUGGCGCCCGGGUGCGGGAUGUAUCGCUAAUCUGCCCCUUGCUUGAGGACAACCGUUAUAAAUGACUGCUAAUACUCCCUAGAAAGGGAGGAGACUAUAUCGUAUCAGCUAGUCGGUGGGGUAACGGCCUACCGAGGCUAGGACGCGUAACAGGUCUGAGAGGAUGCGCAGGUAAAGUGGAAAGGAGACACGGUCAAAACUCCUACGGGAGGCAGCAGUAGGGAAUAUUGCGCAAUGGGGGAAACCCUGACGAAGCAACGCCGCGUGGAGGAGGACACUUUUCGGAGCGUAAACUCCUGUUGUUAGGGAAGCGGUACCUAAAGAAUAAGCACCGGCUAACUCCGUGCCAGCAGCCGCGGUAAUUC